rnacentral:rRNA from 1 species
UACGUAGGGUGCGAGCGUUGUCCGGAAUUAUUGGGCGUAAAGGGCUCGUAGGCGGUUUGUUGCGUCGGGAGUGAAAACUCAGGGCUUAACCCUGAGCCUGCUUCCGAUACGGGCAGACUAGAGGUAUGCAGGGGAGAACGGAAUUCCUGGUGUAGCGGUGAAAUGCGCAGAUAUCAGGAGGAACACCGGUGGCGAAAGCGGCUCACUGGACCCGAUCUGACACUGAGGUGCGAAAGCUAGGGUAGCAAACGGG